rnacentral:rRNA from 1 species
AGGACGAACGCUGGCGGCGUGCUUAACACAUGCAAGUCGAACGCUGAAGCUCCCAGCUUGCUGGGGGUGGAUGAGUGGCGAACGGGUGAGUAACACGUGAGUAACCUGCCCCGAACUCUGGGAUAAGCGCUGGAAACGGCGUCUAAUACUGGAUAUGUCCUAUCACCGCAUGGUGUGUAGGUGGAAAGAAUUUCGGUUCGGGAUGGACUCGCGGCCUAUCAGCUAGAUGGUGAGGUAAUGGCUCACCAUGGCGACGACGGGUAGCCGGCCUGAGAGGGUGACCGGCCACACUGGGACUGAGACACGGCCCAGACUCCUACGGGAGGCAGCAGUGGGGAAUAUUGCACAAUGGGCGCAAGCCUGAUGCAGCAACGCCGCGUGAGGGAUGACGGCCUUCGGGUUGUAAACCUCUUUUAGUAGGGAAGAAGCGAAAGUGACGGUACCUGCAGAAAAAGCACCGGCUAACUACGUGCCAGCAGCCGCGGUAAUACGUAGGGUGCAAGCGUUGUCCGGAAUUAUUGGGCGUAAAGAGCUCGUAGGCGGCUUGUCGCGUCUGCUGUGAAAACCAGAGGCUCAACCUCUGGCCUGCAGUGGGUACGGGCAAGCUAGAGUGCGGUAGGGGAGAUUGGAAUUCCUGGUGUAGCGGUGGAAUGCGCAGAUAUCAGGAGGAACACCGAUGGCGAAGGCAGAUCUCUGGGCCGUAACUGACGCUGAGGAGCGAAAGCAUGGGGAGCGAACAGGAUUAGAUACCCUGGUAGUCCAUGCCGUAAACGUUGGGAACUAGAUGUAGGGCCUGUUCCACGGGUUCUGUGUCGUAGCUAACGCAUUAAGUUCCCCGCCUGGGGAGUACGGCCGCAAGGCUAAAACUCAAAGGAAUUGACGGGGGCCCGCACAAGCGGCGGAGCAUGCGGAUUAAUUCGAUGCAACGCGAAGAACCUUACCAAGGCUUG